CCUGCCCCUAGAGGCACUGCUGGUGUGUCUGCUGUGUGACAUAAAUGUCAGUGGGUGGCAGAGAAGAGAGACUAUGUCUAUGCUCAGUGUUCUGAUCUAUGAACUGAAAGAUUACUAGCCUAACACG
ensembl:snoRNA LOC120102675 small nucleolar RNA SNORA17